rnacentral:rRNA from 1 species
UGCCAGCCGCCGCGGUAAUACGGAGGGUGCAAACGUUGCUCGGAAUCAUUGGGCGUAAAGCGCGCGUAGGCGGCUUGAUAAGUCGGAUGUGAAAGCCCUCGGCUUAACCGGGGAAGUGCAUUCGAAACUGUCAGGCUUGAGUAUGGGAGAGGAUUGUGGAAUUCCCGGUGUAGAGGUGAAAUUCGUAGAUAUCGGGAGGAACACCAGAGGCGAAGGCGACAAUCUGGACCAAUACUGACGCUGAGGUGCGAAAGCGUGGGGAGCAAACAGGAUUAGAUA